UGAACAAGCUGGAAAGCUUGGCGAUACAGGGUGAUAGCCCCGUAACCGACGCUUCAUCGAGCGUGAAAUCGAGUAGGGCGGGACACGUGAUAUCCUGUCUGAAUAUGGGGGGACCAUCCUCCAAGGCUAAAUACUCCUGACUGACCGAUAGUGAACCAGUACCGUGAGGGAAAGGCGAAAAGAACCCCUGUGAGGGGAGUGAAAUAGAACCUGAAACCGUGUACGUACAAGCAGUAGGAGCACCUUCGUGGUGUGACUGCGUACCUUUUGUAUAAUGGGUCAGCGACUUAUAUUCAGUGGCAAGGUUAACCGUAUAGGGGAGCCGUAGCGAAAGCGAGUCUUAACUGGGCGCUCAGUCUCUGGAUAUAGACCCGAAACCGGGUGAUCUAGCCAUGGGCAGGUUGAAGGUUGAGUAACAUCAACUGGAGGACCGAACCGACUAAUGUUGAAAAAUUAGCGGAUGACUUGUGGCUAGGGGUGAAAGGCCAAUCAAACUCGGAGAUAGCUGGUUCUCCCCGAAAGCUAUUUAGGUAGCGCCUCGGACGAAUACUACUGGGGGUAGAGCACUGUUAAGGCUAGGGGGUCAUCCCGACUUACCAACCCUUUGCAAACUCCGAAUACCAGUAAGUACUAUCCGGGAGACACACGGCGGGUGCUAACGUCCGUCGUGGAGAGGGAAACAACCCAGACCGCCAGCUAAGGUCCCAAAGUAUUGCUAAGUGGGAAACGAUGUGGGAAGGCUCAGACAGCUAGGAUGUUGGCUUAGAAGCAGCCAUCAUUUAAAGAAAGCGUAAUAGCUCACUAGUCGAGUCGGCCUGCGCGGAAGAUGUAACGGGGCUAAGCAAUACACCGAAGCUGCGGCAAUAUCUUUUAGAUAUUGGGUAGGGGAGCGUUCUGUAAGCCGUUGAAGGUGAAUCGUAAGGUUUGCUGGAGGUAUCAGAAGUGCGAAUGCUGACAUGAGUAACGACAAAGGGGGUGAAAAACCUCCUCGCCGGAAGACCAAGGGUUCCUGUCCAACGUUAAUCGGGGCAGGGUGAGUCGACCCCUAAGGUGAGGCCGAAAGGCGUAAUCGAUGGGAAACGGGUUAAUAUUCCCGUACUUCUGACUAUUGCGAUGGGGGGACGGAGAAGGCUAGGUGGGCCAGGCGACGGUUGUCCUGGUUCAAGUGCGUAGGCUUGAGAGUUAGGUAAAUCCGGCUCUCUUUAAGGCUGAGACACGACGUCGAGCUGCUACGGCAGUGAAGUCAUUGAUGCCAUGCUUCCAGGAAAAGCCUCUAAGCUUCAGAUAGUCAGGAAUCGUACCCCAAACCGACACAGGUGGUCGGGUAGAGAAUACCAAGGCGCUUGAGAGAACUCGGGUGAAGGAACUAGGCAAAAUGGUACCGUAACUUCGGGAGAAGGUACGCUCUUGAUGGUGAAGUCCCUCGCGGAUGGAGCUGACGAGAGUCGCAGAUACCAGGUGGCUGCAACUGUUUAUUAAAAACACAGCACUGUGCAAAAUCGCAAGAUGACGUAUACGGUGUGACGCCUGCCCGGUGCCGGAAGGUUAAUUGAUGGGGUUAGCGCAAGCGAAGCUCUUGAUCGAAGCCCCGGUAAACGGCGGCCGUAACUAUAACGGUCCUAAGGUAGCGAAAUUCCUUGUCGGGUAAGUUCCGACCUGCACGAAUGGCGUAAUGAUGGCCACGCUGUCUCCACCCGAGACUCAGUGAAAUUGAAAUCGCUGUGAAGAUGCAGUGUACCCGCGGCUAGACGGAAAGACCCCGUGAACCUUUACUACAGCUUGGCACUGAACAUUGAACCUACAUGUGUAGGAUAGGUGGGAGGCUAUGAAGACGUGACGCCAGUUGCGUUGGAGCCGUCCUUGAAAUACCACCCUUGUAUGUUUGAUGUUCUAACUUAGACCCAUUAUCUGGGUUGAGGACAGUGCCUGGUGGGUAGUUUGACUGGGGCGGUCUCCUCCCAAAGAGUAACGGAGGAGCACGAAGGUGGGCUAAUCACGGUUGGACAUCGUGAGGUUAGUGCAAUGGCAUAAGCCCGCUUAACUGCGAGAAUGACGGUUCGAGCAGGUGCGAAAGCAGGUCAUAGUGAUCCGGUGGUUCUGUAUGGAAGGGCCAUCGCUCAACGGAUAAAAGGUACUCCGGGGAUAACAGGCUGAUACCGCCCAAGAGUUCAUAUCGACGGCGGUGUUUGGCACCUCGAUGUCGGCUCAUCACAUCCUGGGGCUGAAGUCGGUCCCAAGGGUAUGGCUGUUCGCCAUUUAAAGUGGUACGCGAGCUGGGUUUAGAACGUCGUGAGACAGUUCGGUCCCUAUCUGCCGUGGGCGUUGGAAGAUUGAAGGGGGCUGCUCCUAGUACGAGAGGACCGGAGUGGACGAACCUCUGGUGUUCGGGUUGUGUCGCCAGACGCAUUGCCCGGUAGCUAAGUUCGGAAUUGAUAAGCGCUGAAAGCAUCUAAGCGCGAAGCGAGCCCUGAGAUGAGUCUUCCCUGAAGGGUGUGUAAGCGUUGUGAGGCGUUGAGCUAACCUGUACUAAUUGCCCGUGAGGCUUAACCA
rnacentral:rRNA from 1 species